GGUCGGGCUCCGCACGGUGGAUGCUUGUGAACCCCGUCAGGUCCGGAAGGAAGCAGCGGCAGCAGGUUAUGUGCGCGUUGCGGUUCUGUCUGGCUCGG
rnacentral:SRP_RNA from 1 species